rnacentral:rRNA from 1 species
CUGGCGGCAGGCCUACACAUGCAGUCGAGCGGUAGAGAGAAGCUUGCUUCUCUUGAGAGCGGCGGACGGGUGAGUAAUGCCUAGGAAUCUGCCUGGUAGUGGGGGAUAACGUUCGGAAACGGACGCUAAUACCGCAUACGUCCUACGGGAGAAAGCAGGGGACCUUCGGGCCUUGCGCUAUCAGAUGAGCCUAGGUCGGAUUAGCUAGUUGGUGAGGUAAUGGCUCACCAAGGCGACGAUCCGUAACUGGUCUGAGAGGAUGAUCAGUCACACUGGAACUGAGACACGGUCCAGACUCCUACGGGAGGCAGCAGUGGGGAAUAUUGGACAAUGGGCGAAAGCCUGAUCCAGCCAUGCCGCGUGUGUGAAGAAGGUCUUCGGAUUGUAAAGCACUUUAAGUUGGGAGGAAGGGUUGUAGAUUAAUACUCUGCAAUUUUGACGUUACCGACAGAAUAAGCACCGGCUAACUCUGUGCCAGCAGCCGCGGUAAUACAGAGGGUGCAAGCGUUAAUCGGAAUUACUGGGCGUAAAGCGCGCGUAGGUGGUUUGUUAAGUUGGAUGUGAAAUCCCCGGGCUCAACCUGGGAACUGCAUUCAAAACUGACUGACUAGAGUAUGGUAGAGGGUGGUGGAAUUUCCUGUGUAGCGGUGAAAUGCGUAGAUAUAGGAAGGAACACCAGUGGCGAAGGCGACCACCUGGACUAAUACUGACACUGAGGUGCGAAAGCGUGGGGAGCAAACAGGAUUAGAUACCCUGGUAGUCCACGCCGUAAACGAUGUCAACUAGCCGUUGGAAGCCUUGAGCUUUUAGUGGCGCAGCUAACGCAUUAAGUUGACCGCCUGGGGAGUACGGCCGCAAGGUUAAAACUCAAAUGAAUUUGACGGGGGCCCGCACAAGCGGUGGAGCAUGUGGGUUUAAUUUCGAAGCAACGCGAAGAUCUUUACCAGGCCUUGACAUCCAAUGAACUUUCUAAGUGCUCGGGACAUUGAGACAGUGCUGCAUGCUGUCGUCAGCUCGUGUCGUGAGAUGUGUUAAGUUCCGGUACGAGCGCAACCGGUGUCUAAGUUAACAGCACGUAUGUGUCACUCUAAGGAACUGCCGGUGACUAUCGGAGGAAAGUUGAG